GACGAACGCUGGCGGCGCGCUUAACACAUGCAAGUCGAACGGAAAGGCCUGCUUUCCCUUGUGGAUUGCGGGUACUCGAGUGGCGAACGGGUGAGUAACACGUGAGUGAUCUGCCCCCAACUUGGGUAUAAGCCUGGGAAACUGGGUCUAAUUCCCGAUAGGACUGCAGGGUGGUGCCUGUGGUGGAAAACGAUUUUCUAGUGGUUGGGGAUGAGCUCGCGGCCUAUCAGCUUGUUGGUGGGGUAAUGGCCUACCAAGGCGGCGACGGGUAGCCGGCCUGGGAGGGUGGACGGCCACAUUGGGACUGGGAUACGGCCCAGACUCCUACGGGAGGCAGCAGUGGGGAGUAUUGGACAAUGAGCGGAAGCCUGAUGCAGCGACGCCGCGUGGGGGAUGACGGCCUUCGGGUUGUAAACUCCUUUCGACCGCGAGGAAGCCACCUGGUUGGAAGGGUGGUGACGGUAGUGGUAGAAGAAGCACCGGCUAACUACGUG
rnacentral:rRNA from 1 species